UACGGAAGGCAGCAGUGGGGAAUAUUGCACAAUGGGCGCAAGCCUGAUGCAGCCAUGCCGCGUGUAUGAAGAAGGCCUUCGGGUUGUAAAGUACUUUCAGUCGUGAGGAAGGUGUUAAGGUUAAUAACCUUAGCAAUUGACGUUAGCGACAGAAGAAGCACCGGCUAACUCCGUGCCAGCAGCCGCGGUAAUACGGAGGGUGCGAGCGUUAAUCGGAAUUACUGGGCGUAAAGGGCACGCAGGCGGUUAAUUAAGUUGGAUGUGAAAUCCCCGGGCUUAACCUGGGAAUGGCAUUCAAGACUGGUUAGCUAGAGUCUUGUAGAGGGGGUAGAAUUCCAUGUGUAGCGGUGAAAUGCGUAGAGAUGUGGAGGAACACCAGUGGCGAAGGCGACCACCUGGGACUGAUACCGACACUGAGGUGCGAAAGCGUGGGGAGCAAACAGGGAUUAGAUACC
rnacentral:rRNA from 1 species